CUCACAGAGAAAAAAAAAGGUCAGGUCGAAACACAUCCGCAGCUGUUGUGCAAAGCGUAAUUGUAGCAAACUGGCUACAUAUGAUAAUAUAUUAAUAAUAAUAAUAAGACAAACAUUACCUGAUAUUUUCACAUCCAGACCUACAUGUUUGCAGCUAUUAAUGAUUCAGCAGUAAGAAUUUUGGCUCAACUGUCAACCCCAUGUCACCCAACAAACGUAACACCAAUGUGUUAGGGCUGUAUGUGUUUUCCCUGCGCUGUGUGUCGCUUGUCCUCUUCUGUCCUCUAGUUCUGCCCCAGCUGUGCUACAUCUGUCUUUAAAAGCUCCUGUGUCAGCAUCAGAAGGGAUGCUGGUCUUUUAUGUUAGUAAAUCCCGUGGAUUUGGUUGUUUUAAAGGUGUUUUUCUGUGGAUGGUUUGGGUCGGCGUUGGAGUGACUAAGGGUGGGGCAUAACAGCAGCUUGUCUUUCGUCUGUCCAUGUUGUCCAGAAAGCUGUUUACCUAACGCAGUCACACUCAUGGACGUCAUCUCUCCAAGUGGAUCCGGAACAAAAGAGGAAAAAUGUUAAUUAAAAUGAGUUCAGCGAGCUUAAAGGUUAAAGAGGAGAGUGAGAAGUCAAAGCAGACGGAAUAACUGAGGCAGAUGAAGACGAAGAGGCAGACAGAGUCUAUUAGUGAUGUACGCAGACAGAACGACGGCCUCGCUGCACAUUAUUAUAUUAUAUAUAAUUUUUAUUGUAUUAAUGGUGCAUGAUGAGUGCAAGAGGGAAGAACUGUACAGCCCGUGUUGAUUGCACUGACUCUGUGUAUUAAGUCAAUAGCCUUAUUUUGAUUAUACAUAUAGAAAAUAAAAGAUACGUCAACACCUGAAAAUGUUACUAAUAGUCAGACACAGUAAAGUAAAGAAAUCAUUUAUAAUUUAUCUUUGUACUGUACCUGAGAACAAGUAAGGUUCAUUUUAUAUAAUAUAUAUUUGCUAUUAAAUAAAAGCAGCCAUACUCCAUUAUAUUUCCUGGGGACUUGUUUUGUAGAGACAUAAAUAAAGAAAUACAUUAAUAUAAAAGAUGAGACGUGUAACGCAUGUUAUGCAAGUGGUUUUAUUUUAUUUUGAAGGUUCACUGGGCACAAACAGAAGAGUACUUUAGCCAUUUAAAAUAUAGACGCAUACAUAAAAAAACUCAAGAUGUAGCUUUAUAAAAGCAGCAUGCUAGUGUUAAUGUAAUGUUAAAUAAGAAAAAACAAUUAUAUAAAAUCAGACAAAGUAUGAACAGUAGCAGCAAAAGUCAAUUCAAAUCAAAUAAUAAUAAUUGCAAAAAGCUAAAAUGAAGAUUAAGUAAAUUCAAGUAGGCAGGCCUAAAAAGAAGUCUUAUUAAGAGGUUUAAUGCUUUCCCAAAAUGAAAUGGUUUCUGUCCUUGAACCCUUUUGAUUAAAGACAUGAGCCUGGUCCAGUUUACAAUCAAGAAGUCAGAAUUAGUUUGAGUGAUAAUCACAUUUAUGGAGGCACAAACAUGGUAAACGUGUAAGGGUUUUCCUUGCUUCUAUUUGUUUUUUACUGUUCUGGUUUGUAUCUACUCUGACAAAUUGGUAAACACCAUCAGUGAUAUUGGUGGCGUCAUUUUAAGGUUUAAAAGAUGUGUAGUUUGUCACGAUCGAAUGAUGCUUCUCAACUUGAUUUGAGGGUUUAGUGCUUUGUACACAUGAUUUCUGUAGGAAGACAACAUGUAGAAGAGUACGCAGAAAUAAAUUGUGUAAAUCCUGUCUGACUGUGAGCCCCCAAAACUCCCAUUCAGUACUUGAUCUGAUUUCAGAAGACUCAUGAUUUCUUUUUUCAUAAAAAGACAAUGUUUCAGUGAUUUCCUCAACUGUACUGUUGCACUUUUAUUGCAUGUAUCCUCAUCGCCCUCACACUCACACUACGGAUCUCCUUCCUUUAAUGCAGUUUUAUUUUUAGCCUUGACAGAAAUCCACGAAUGAGUUUCAUGUUUUCGCUGUUAAAUCGCAAUGUUGAUUCAAUUCUUCGGCUGGCAAAUAAUUUGAGAGCACAAGAGUAGAAACCAGAAAGUACAAAUUAUUGACACAAAUUCGUGAACUGAGUAUAUGAAGCACAAAUACUAAUCUGAGGGAAGGACGUAUCAAAAAAGAAAAGGUAGAUUGCGGUACAGCGGUACAGUUGUGAUCAUUCCACCAAAAUCUCGACUCAACCAGACUAUAAGAAAACACUCGCCGUUUCUACUUUAUGUUUACAGGUGUUGACUUCCCCAGUUUGAAAGCUUUAUUUUCCACUUUCAGGGCUGCUGACUGAACUAAUGGAACAAAGCACAACAGUCUAGAAGCUAAAUGUUUGAAAUGGCUUUCUGAUAUGUGUAAUAUCUGAGUGGUUUGGGACAAAGUGGAUGUGUGAAAGAGAAAUAUGAAGAAAACAUGAGUAUUUGUCUUGGAAAUGGACGUCGGUGUUUGGCGGAGCACAAUCACAACCCUUUGUAUCUGAGAAAAUGGUGUGAACUUGGUGAAAUGGAGCGAUUAUGAAAAACUGACCAUCUUUUUCCGGCGUUCCUGCGGGGAAGAAGACAAGCCAGAAAACAAGCCAGAAAACGGACAGCGCGUCCAGUAAUUUGAGUUUAUUUAUGUGAUGCGUGUCGGCGAGGAGAAGGCAGAGCGGUGCAGCGAAGGGCUGAUUGAUCUUUCAGAGGCAAUCACGAUGAGCAGCGAGCACAAAAUGGGCCUGCGGCUUCUGGUGGUCUCAUCUAUGAG